GGAGGAAUGGUCCAAUGGUUAGAACAUUCACUUUAGACUUGAGAGACCUACUUUCAAAUCUUUGUUCUGCUA
rnacentral:tRNA from 1 species